AUUUCAUGGUUUGAAUGUUACUUUCUGUGUAUGCAUCUUAUCCGUACCUCAACUUUCUUUUCUUCAGAAUCUGUUUAUUUCUGGCAAAAACUGGAAUUUCUUCAAGAAGAGGAUAAAAGCUCCUGUCACUUUGUCCUCCAUUUCAAACCCCAUAUUGUGUCUAAGGAGUUUUGCGUCAUUCUGAUGCCCACAGGAGCAACAUCGCAAGAGACCGCAAGCGUUAGUGAACAACAUAAUAUCAGGCCUAAGGCUUGGACUACUUUUACAAAGGCUUAGAAGGCAUCUGAAUGCAAUUCCUGAGAAAGUCCUAUUACAAGGACUCAGUGGGAAUAUCUUCUCCUUGUGCCUUUCCAAGAAGAAAACUCAGCUCAUCAGUAGAUCCCUACCAUGUCGAAGCGCCUAUGUCCUGUUUUACAUGCAUCCUGGGAUUUAAUGUUUCUCACUAGCUAGCUGAAAGCAUGUACUUGCUCUAGGUUUUCUGGACCCACUGGAUUUUUAAUCUCUGCUCUGUGAAGCAGCUAUCUUCUGUGUUGGGCAUUGCAGUGCCUAAUUUGCGAACAUAUAAGUCCUUUAUUGCUUUUAGCCCUCAGUUUAAUUUACAGUCAGCAGUUCACCUCUUAAUUUCUGCAGUUUGCUCAAAUCUAGAUGAUUAUCUACCCCUAUAAUUAUAGUGGUGAGCAGUGUGUUAGUACCUUACACGUGCAUUCCUCAUCACUCAUAGCAAUACUUUUCUCUUCCACUCUAGUAAAAAGGGGCUAAAUGUCACAUGCGUUCCUGCUCACUCAUAGGAAUAUUCUUCUCUUCUAGUAAAAAGGGGCCAAAUUUCACCAUUGGUGUUACUAAAAUUGCUUUUAUAAAUCUAAC
rnacentral:lncRNA from 1 species